GAGCGCGGCCGGGGGGAGCGCGAAAUGGCGGAUGCGCGGGCGGGCGGCGCGCACACGAACGCGCGUGUUCGCGUCCCUCUGUCCGCCCGCGGCCGGUCCGUCUGUCCCUCAGUGCACGGGGUACGGAGAUGAGCGACCGGCACCGGUUCCCGCCGGGGCAACAAAGCCUGCCCCCUGUUCCGUGCCCCGACCCGCCCGCCGCCCCCGGCCCCGCUCACUCGUCAGGGAACAGAAGUGGAAACUCGGAGAGAAACCUGUGGACUGCUAGUAAAUGAGAUGGAGGCAAGAGCUGAUGAAAGCUUUGAGGUCUUCUCCUCAGGGAGAAGCAGUGUGUCCUUCAGAGUCAUUUGUAGGUGUGGAGGAAAGUGUUGGUCUUCCAUUACAGCAGAAGGAGCUACAGCCCAAGGAGACACCUGGGUGUCAGGAAGAGGACUCAAACUCAGGAACAUUUGGGAGUCAUUUAAGAUAGGAAGACAAAAUCCACUUGAGUUUAAUUCCCUGUGCUUGUUUGUGUAUGUCUAGUUGCUUGGCUGUGAGUGGUGCAUAAAUCACCUGAGACUCUCCAUUCCUCUGUAAUUUACUGUUGGAAAGGACAGAAAUAAAUUCUAACAUAUUUGUGCGACACACCAGAAUUACUCCAAACUUAGAAGAAUUUUGGAGCAAAGUUAAAGGCUUCAAGCCUAAAUUGCACACUGCUAAUUAUCUCCUUAUAUUUUAUGUCAUCAUGGAUUAAAAUGAAAUGCUGCUGUGAAGGUGCCCCAUCAAACAGAACAUGGUUCUAGUUGUUUGCCUUGUGUGGCCUGAGUAAAAGUGCAUUUCCGCCCUAGGAAAAUCCUUUAUGCCCUGAUUUCCAAGUUCAAAAAUAACUCUCUACAGAUGAAACAUGUUUCUCACCCUUUAAAGUAGUGUUUUCACCUACAAAUACUUGCUGCCUAAACAAGAGCUCUUUCCUUUGCACUUGUGCCAACAUGCAACUUGGAUAAAGAACUAAACUUAGAUUCAUAGUUAUAAUGCUUCCACUGACUUUUUUGGUUUUGUUUUUUAAUAAUGACUCUAAGACAUGUGCCAUCUCUCUCCUGAAUUUUAAUCUUUCUAAUGAAGGUGUGUUUGAAGAAGGCACACCCUUCAGAAGAUGUUUUGUGGUAUCGUCUUUGAGCCUUUAGUGUUGAGGACCAGCUGCAUUUUCAAUUUUAAAUGCACUUUUCAGGGUCUUACAUCACAGAGGCCUAAAUUAAAACACACUUACCAUAAAGAGGUGCAGCACAUGCAUUCAUCCUGGAAAUUGCACUGCGACAUGAAAGAUAUCCAAACCCUACUUGUAAUUUUGAAGAUGAGCAAGCCUUGGCCUUUCAGAUGUCCCACGUGAGGGAAGCGCACCCACGUCCCGCAAAAUCGUAAGCUUCUGAAUCAUGGAAGCUGGAUCUUAAAGCCUCUAAUUCCCACUGAAUUAGAGAUGUUUGACAAUGUGUGUGGCUGUGAAAAUUAAUCCCAGUGCUGGACUGGGGGUGGCCGACUGCCUGGUGGAUGUGAGCCGACACAGGAACCCCUGUGGUCCAACACUCAGGGUGACCCAGGGAGAUGCAGAACUCAGUGAUGGGCAGCUCUCACUUUGUGCCUCCCAGAUCAUCCUCCACAUGCUAUUCAGGAUCAGGGAUCAGGAUCUGGUGGCUCCCCAUGGCAUGAAAAUUUUCUUUAGUGGUUUGUAGGCUGAAAAAGGCUGGUCAUGCCUUCUGUAAAGAAUUAUCUGAUUAGCUCUAGAUGUCUUUCUCCUAAUUAAGGUUAUUGGAGAAAAUGUUUCUUCUCUAGUAUGGUGGUAAACACCAGGAGUGAGAGCACUGCACCUUUAUUUUGGACAUAUAUACCAUGAUGAGAGCAGCAGCUGGUCUUUAACUUCACUCCCUGCAGCUAUGGAAACCUUGCCACAGGUUGUGCACCCUGCAGAAACAGAGACCUCCUUUCGGGGUUCAUGGGUUUAAUGCCAAAUUCUCUCUCCAUAUACAUGGCUCCCAGGAACCAAACAGUAGCUUCAGAGAGCCAUCAGCUUCACUAGCCUGCAGGUAUACAGAGGGAACCCCCAAACUUCAGUCUAAGACUUCCCUUCCUGCCUCUAUUUAAUGUCAGUUUCACUUGCAGCUGUUCCAGGGAAAGGUUUUUUUGCAACCUCUUUCAAGUAUCAGAUACUGGCAAUCCCUCUCCUGGAGUGCCGUGGUUGGAGAGUAUCCUGGGCUCACUUGGGAGGGCAAGGCUCUCCCAUAUCUAAACAUUGCAGUAAAUGUUACUCAGCCUCCUGUAGGGUUACUGGGCUUGACACAAAUGUCCUAGCCAAGCUCACAAGGAAGAGGAAAUAUGGGAAUAUACGCCACCAGAAGACACUGUCUCCCUUGACGUUUUUGCCUGUAAAACAAUAGCUUACAGAACAUUUUUAACUGAAAGGUGUUGUUGGCCUCUUUCCUUUUCAUUUUUUGACUUUUGUUUCCUGUAGGAGGGUCUCUGAAUUCCUUAAUGUUGUCAUCGAGUCCUAGGGAUUUUUUUUCCCCUCUUUUAGCUGUGCUACAUCUCCCAGGUUGCCAGCAAUGCAAAAUUGCUGAUGGAAGACAUUUCUGUUUAAACUGGAAGCCAUGAAUACAAGAGCUUCUCCUCCCAAAGGAAAUGUUGUUUUUACUUCCAUGUCCCCAGUCUUACAUCUUUGCUUUGUACUCAGGUAUUUUCACUUGAGACUUCCCAGUUUCCUAGAAAUUCUGAUUUACUCUCUUGCUGAGUCUGUGGAACAAGAUACUAAAUCUAUCUUGCUUGGAAAAAACAAUUAAAGAAAGAACAAUAAAACCCUAAUUGAAACAUUUUGCUGAAAAAUGUCACAGCAUAGUGAUUUUUGAAACAAAAGCCAAAUAAAUACUUUUUGCUUUUCUAAAUUAGGAAAAGAAAUGCACGUGUAUACCCAUUCAGUUGGAGUGGAAUUGGAAAAUCUUUGUUUCAUAUGCAGUGCCAGCUUCAGGAAAAGGACAGUCUGGCUUUGUCUUCUUAUGUGUAUUUGUGGGUCUUUGUUAUCAAUAUUUAGCAGUCAGUCUUGGGAAGUUUUACUGUGAUGUUAAGGAGAAGGCUGCAAUUCCAGGCACUAAGGUGCUAAGGUGGCUCCUUUGGAAAGCCUGAAAUGUGGCUGCCUGCUCUUAGGAACUUCUCUAAAGCCACAGGGACUCUGCACAACACUU